ACAUGCAAGUCGAGCGAACGGACGAGAAGCUUGCUUCUCUGAUGUUAGCGGCGGACGGGUGAGUAACCACGUGGAUAACCUACCUAUAAGACUGGGAUAACUUCGGGAAACCGGAGCUAAUACCGGAUAAUAUUUUGAACCGCAUGGUUCAAAAGUGAAAGACGGUCUUGCUGUCACUUAUAGAUGGAUCCGCGCUGCAUUAGCUAGUUGGUAAGGUAACGGCUUACCAAGGCAACGAUGCAUAGCCGACCUGAGAGGGUGAUCGGCCACACUGGAACUGAGACACGGUCCAGACUCCUACGGGAGGCAGCAGUAGGGAAUCUUCCGCAAUGGGCGAAAGCCUGACGGAGCAACGCCGCGUGAGUGAUGAAGGUCUUCGGAUCGUAAAACUCUGUUAUUAGGGAAGAACAUAUGUGUAAGUAACUGUGCACAUCUUGACGGUACCUAAUCAGAAAGCCACGGCUAACUACGUGCCAGCAGCCGCGGUAAUACGUAGGUGGCAAGCGUUAUCCGGAAUUAUUGGGCGUAAAGCGCGCGUAGGCGGUUUUUUAAGUCUGAUGUGAAAGCCCACGGCUCAACCGUGGAGGGUCAUUGGAAACUGGAAAACUUGAGUGCAGAAGAGGAAAGUGGAAUUCCAUGUGUAGCGGUGAAAUGCGCAGAGAUAUGGAGGAACACCAGUGGCGAAGGCGACUUUCUGGUCUGUAACUGACGCUGAUGUGCGAAAGCGUGGGGAUCAAACAGGAUUAGAUACCCUGGUAGUCCACGCCGUAAACGAUGAGUGCUAAGUGUUAGGGGGUUUCCGCCCCUUAGUGCUGCAGCUAACGCAUUAAGCACUCCGCCUGGGGAGUACGACCGCAAGGUUGAAACUCAAAGGAAUUGACGGC
rnacentral:rRNA from 1 species